AUUGAACGCUGGCGGCAGGCCUAACACAUGCAAGUCGAGCGGAUGAAGGGAGCUUGCUCCUGGAUUCAGCGGCGGACGGGUGAGUAAUGCCUAGGAAUCUGCCUGGUAGUGGGGGAUAACGUCCGGAAACGGGCGCUAAUACCGCAUACGUCCUGAGGGAGAAAGGGGGGGAUCUUCGAACCUCACGCUAUCAGAUGAGCCUAGGUCGGAUUAGCUAGUUGGUGGGGUAAAGGCCUACCAAGGCGACGAUCCGUAACUGGUCUGAGAGGAUGAUCAGUCACACUGGAACUGAGACACGGUCCAGACUCCUACGGGAGGCAGCAGUGGGGAAUAUUGGACAAUGGGCGAAAGCCUGAUCCAGCCAUGCCGCGUGUGUGAAGAAGGUCUUCGGAUUGUAAAGCACUUUAAGUUGGGAGGAAGGGCAGUAAGUUAAUACCUUGCUGUUUUGACGUUACCAACAGAAUAAGCACCGGCUAACUUCGUG
rnacentral:rRNA from 1 species